rnacentral:lncRNA from 1 species
AGCCACACUUCAGGGUCAUGGCCUCCUUUAACAGUGUUACCAGAAUGCUGAGGUUGUGUCCCAUGGUGAUAAAGAAUGAAACUGAAGAUAGAGGAGUCACCCAGCCUUGGAGCAGACAACCAUGAACUGAAAACUCUGCAAACGAGUGGCCCAAACAGUAUCCUUCAACUAGAUUCUGCCAUCCACAGAAGGCUCACAAAGGAAUAGAAAGACUGAAAUGACACCUGAUGGCCCAGGAAGCCACUAAAGUUGUGUCCCCGAGAAUGUUCUGAAUCCCAGCAGAGUGGCAGCAGAGCUUUCUCACUGGGAUUCCUGGGCCUCCCUCCGAAUCUUUUCUCCAAACUAAUUUUGGCCUCCAACCCUGCAGAGGCUCUUUUUGCCUCUCGAGAUGUGACAGAUCCAAAUGGGCAAACUGAGGCAUGAAGACAAGGAUUGGGCUUCACCUCCAUGACAGACAGUAACAAGGAAGACCCUGCCAUCAUCCCAAGGCCUCUGUUGCCUGGGAGAAUUCGGUGUGGAUUUGGCAUGAGUCCCGAGACAUGGGCUACUGUAUGCUGAAGGCGAGGACACAAGUGCUGGUGUGCCCACGUCCCCUGGAACUGUAGGCUGGGGACCUGAGAGAUAACCCUGGGGGCCGAGAGUCUGGAGGAAACCACAUGGGACAGAGGCCAACUGGGACAAACACGGUGCCAGCCAGGCAGGACAUUGUCCCUGAGCUGCAUUGUCCCUCACCUGCAUCCUUCUGAACUGAGGCUUCUGGGGAGCUGGGGUUGCCAGAUAAAUGCAGAAGAACCAGUUAAAUUCGAAAAUUUGGACAAACAAUGACUAACUUAUUAGCUAAGCAUACCUCCAAAUAUGG